UAGGUUGAACCUACACGCAUGCGCCCAAAGCGCGGGAUUUGAGGUGGGUGGGCCCACUGCUUCCCGCUUUCGCCUCCCAAAGCGUUUGCGGCAGUCUCGCGAGAUUUCUCCUUCUCGCGGGAAUUAUUUGAACGUCUGGGCGGUAAAGACUCCCUGGGCACCUGGGUCCCGCUCUCUGCAGCCUGAGGAGAUUCCACUGAGAGCUCUGCCUCAGGGCUGGCGGGGGAGGAGGGCUGGCUGUAGCCAAGCGCGGGCAGUACUCGUCCCGGCAGGGUCCCAGAGCCAUGGGAGCGGAAAAGAGGCUGCUGUCAAUCAAGGAGGCUUUUCGGCUGGCGCAGCAGCCGCACCAGAACCAGGCCAAGCUGGUGGUGGCUUUGAGCCGCACCUACCGCACGACGGAUGAUAAAACAGGUUUUCAUGAGAAGUUCGUUCAUUACCUUAAAUAUGCUAUGGUGGUCUAUAAACGUGAGCCAGCUGUGGAGAGGGUAAUAGAAUUUGCAGCAAAGUUUGUUACUUCAUUUCACCAAUCGGAUAUUGAAGAUGAUGAGGAAGAGAAAGAUGAUGGUCUUUUAAAUUAUUUGUUUACUUUUCUCUUAAAGUCUCAUGAAACAAACAGCAAUGCAGUGAGAUUUAGAGUGUGCCAGCUUAUAAACAAGCUUUUGGGAAGUAUGCCAGAAAAUGCUCAGAUUGAUGAUGAUGUGUUUGAUAAAAUUAAUGAAGCCAUGCUUAUUAGAUUGAAAGAUAAGAUUCCAAAUGUGAGAAUACAGGCAGUUCUGGCGCUUUCACGACUUCAGGAUCCAAAGGAUGAUGAGUGCCCAGUGGUUAAUGCAUAUGCUACUUUGAUUGAAAAUGAUUCAAAUUCAGAAGUUAGACGGGCAGUGUUAUCAUGUAUUGCACCAUCAGCAAAGACUUUGCCAAAAAUUGUAGGGCGCACCAAGGAUGUGAAAGAGGCUGUCAGAAAGCUGGCUUAUCAGGUUUUAGCUGAAAAGGUUCAUAUGAGAGCUUUGUCCAUUGCUCAGAGAGUAAUGCUCCUUCAACAAGGUCUUAAUGACAGAUCAGAUGCUGUGAAACAAGCUAUGCAGAAGCAUCUUCUCCAAGGCUGGUUACGGUUCUCUGAGGGAAAUAUCUUAGAGCUGCUUCAUCGGUUGGAUGUAGAAAAUUCUUCUGAAGUGGCAGUCUCUGCUCUCAAUACCUUGUUUUCAGUGACUCCCCUCAGUGAACUGGUGGGAAUCUGUAAAAACGAUGAUGACAGGAAAUUGGUUCCAGUGGAAACAUUAACUCCUGAAAUUGCUUUGUAUUGGUGUGCCCUUUGUGAAUAUUUGAAAUCAAAAGGAGAUGAAGGUGAAGAAUUUUUAGAACAGAUUUUGCCAGAGCCUGUAGUAUAUGCAGACUAUUUACUGAGUUAUAUUCGGAGCAUUCCAGUUGUUAAUGAAGAAAACAGAGGUGAUUUUUCCUAUAUUGGAAAUUUGAUGACAAAAGAAUUCAUAGGUCAACAAUUGAUUCUAAUUAUUAAGUCUUUGGAUACCAAUGAAGAAGGAGGAAGAAAAAAACUGCUGGCUAUUUUGCAGGAGAUUCUUACUCUACCCACAAUCCCAAUAUCCUUGGUUUCUUUUCUUGUUGGAAGACUACUCCACAUCAUUAUAGAUGAUAAUAAGAGAACACAAAUUGUUACAGAAAUUAUCUCAGAGAUUCGGGCGCCCAUUGUUACUGUUGGUGUUAAUGAUGAUCCAGCUGAUGCAAGAAAGAAAGAACUCAAGAUGGCUGAAAUAAAAGUUAAGCUCAUCGAAGCCAAAGAAGCUUUGGAAAAUUGCAUUGCCUUACAGGAUUUUAAUCGGGCAUCAGAAUUAAAAGAAGAAAUAAAAGCAUUAGAAGAUGCCAGAAAAAACCUUUUGAAAGAGACAGAACAACUUGAAAUUAAAGAAGUCCACAUAGAGAAGAAUGAUGCUGAAACAUUGCAGAAAUGUCUUAUUUUAUGCUAUGAACUGUUGAAGCAGAUGUCCAUUUCAACAGGCAUAAGUGCAACUAUGAAUGGAAUCAUCGAAUCUUUGAUUCUUCCUGGAAUAAUAAGUGUUCAUCCUGUAGUAAGAAACCUGGCUGUUUUAUGCUUGGGAUGCUGUGGACUACAGAAUAAGGAUUUUGCAAGUAAACACUUUGUAUUACUAUUGCAGGUUUUGCAAAUUGAUGAUGUCACAAUAAAAAUAAGUGCUUUAAAGGCAAUCUUUGACCAACUGAUGACGUUUGGGAUUGAACCAUUUAAAACUAAAAUCAAAACCCUUCAUUGUGAAGGUACAGAAAUAAACAGUGAUGAUGAACAAGAAUCAAAAGAAGUUGAAGAGACGGCUACAGCUAAGAAUGUGUUGAAACUCCUUUCUGAUUUCUUAGAUAGUGAGGUAUCUGAACUUAGGACUGGAGCUGCGGAAGGACUAGCCAAGCUGAUGUUCUCUGGGCUUUUGGUCAGCAGCAGGAUUCUUUCUCGUCUUAUUUUGUUGUGGUACAAUCCUGUGACUGAAGAGGAUGUUCGACUUCGACAUUGCCUAGGCGUGUUCUUCCCCAUGUUUGCUUAUGCAAGCAGGACUAAUCAGGAAUGCUUUGAAGAAGCUUUUCUUCCAACCCUGCAAACACUGGCCAAUGCCCCUGCAUCUUCUCCUUUAGCUGAAGUUGAUAUCACAAAUGUUGCUGAGUUACUUGUAGAUUUGACAAGACCAAGUAGAUUAAAUCCUCAAGCCAAGAUUUCUCAAGAUUAUCAGGCCUUAACAGUACAUGACAAUUUGGCUAUGAAAAUUUGCAAUGAGAUUUUAACAAGUCCGUGCUCACCAGAACUACGAGUCUAUACAAAAGCCUUGAGUUCUUUAGAACUCAGUAGCCAUCUUGCAAAAGAUCUUCUGGUUCUAUUGAAUGAGAUUCUAGAGCAAGUAAAAGAUAGGACAUGUCUGAGAGCUUUGGAGAAAAUCAAGGUUCAAUUAGAAAAAGAAAAUAAAGAAUUUGGUGACCAAGCUGAAGCGACACAGGAUGCCAGCUUGACUACAACUAUUUUUCAAAAUGAAGAUGAAAAGAAUAAAGAAGUAUGUAUGACUCCUCUGAGAGGUGUAAAAGCAACCCAAGCAUCAAAAUCUACUCAGCAAAAGACUAACAGAGGACAAAGAAAAGUGACAGUUUCAGCUAGGACAAACAGGAGACGUCAGACUGCUGAGGCUGAUUCUGAAAGGUAUGUCAUGCAUGUCUAGACUAAUAAAGGCCUAUAUUCACUUUUUAUGUCUAGAAGUAGAAACAAACUAAUUUUCUUGUGAUUGAGAGAAAAUAUAUAACAUAGUCUAAAAUUCCAUUAUCAAGAGCAUUUGACUUAUGGCUUGUUUGCUUUUGCCUAUUAGUUGGCAUGGUCUUUAGUAUUGCCUUUAAUAUGUUGUUUCAGUUUCUAAUUACAUGACUAUAUAUGAUUCCUCUUUGAUCUUUAGUUAACAAAUUCUUGAUUUUGAUAAUAAUUGGGUUCUCUAUACUUACAAUGAUAGAAUACUUCUGUCUAUAACUUGGAUAUAUUGUGUGUUAGAGUGUUUAUUUUUGACUUCUGUCAAGCCACUGUUAGGAGUUGAAAGUUGGUAGCUGUCUUGUAUUCAUUGGCAAAAUUGUAUUAUUUGUAUUUUCAGUAUGUAUCUUUACACUGUCUUGAUUAAAUUCAAGUGUAUUUUAAGGGGAAACUUGUUUUUUACUGUGUUUUCAAAAUUUAUUGCUUAAAUCAAGAGAACUUAAUUUUUUUUCCACUUCUUGAGUUUCAAAGAAAUCUCUUUUGGACAGUUAUGGUCCUCGUUUAAUUACAAGCUUCAUUACAAGUUUGUGGGUUUUUUUCCUGUAUAACACCAGGUUCCCUUAUACUAUAUUAAAUCAUUACCUAAGUUUUGCCAUGAUUUACUUUGCUGAAUAGCUAAGUCAGUGUUUUUUGAUAUUGUUUGAGAAUUUAGUUUUCAGCUAAGUCAAUGGAAUCAGGCUAUCAAUUACACACUGAUAGAAUGUGAGUCAGAAACAAAAACGUUUUAUUUAUAAAUUAGCUGGUUUUAAAACUUAUAUCUAAAUUCAUGUAUUUUCAACAUCUAGUGAUCAUGAAGUUCCAGAACCAGAAUCAGAAAUGAAGAUGAGACUACCAAGACGAGCCAAAACAGCAGCGUUAGAAAAAAGUAAACUUAACCUUGCACAAUUUCUCAAUGAAGAUGUGAGUUAGAAAAGAUGAUGGAGGUGGAAUCCUUUAAAAUUAUGUCCAGUUACUUGCUUUAAUAAAGUUACCUUUGUCAAAAU